GACGAACGCUGGCGGCGUGCUUAACACAUGCAAGUCGAACGAUGAAGGAGAGCUUGCUCUCCGGAUUAGUGGCGAACGGGUGAGUAACACGUGACUAACCUGCCCCUUUCUCUGGGAUAACGCUCCGAAAGGAGUGCUAAUACCGGAUACGAACUCUGAACACAUCUUCGGAGUUGGAAAGUUCUUCGGAAAGGGAUGGAUUCGCGGCCUAUCAGCUAGUUGGUGAGGUAACGGCUCAACAAGGCGACGACGGGUAGCCGGCCUGAGAGGGCGACCGGCCACACUGGGACUGAGACACGGCCCAGACUCCUACGGGAGGCAGCAGUGGGGAAUAUUGCACAAUGGGCGAAAGCCUGAUGCAGCGACGCCGCGUGAGGGAUGAAGGUCUUCGGAUUGUAAACCUCUUUCAGUAGGGACGAAGCGAAAGUGACGGUACCUAAAGAAGAAGCACCGGCUAACUACGUGCCAGCCGCCGCGGUAA
rnacentral:rRNA from 1 species